GACGAACGCUGGCGGCGUGCUUAACACAUGCAAGUCGAACGGAAAGGCCCUGCUUUUGUGGGGUGCUCGAGUGGCGAACGGGUGAGUAACACGUGAGUAACCUGCCCUUGACUUUGGGAUAACUUCAGGAAACUGGGGCUAAUACCGGAUAGGAGCUCCUGCUGCAUGGUGGGGGUUGGAAAGUUUCGGCGGUUGGGGAUGGACUCGCGGCUUAUCAGCUUGUUGGUGGGGUAGUGGCUUACCAAGGCUUUGACGGGUAGCCGGCCUGAAAGGGAGACCGGCCACAUUGGGACUGAAAUACGGCCCAGACUCCUACGGGAGGCAGCAGUGGGGAAUAUUGCACAAUGGGCGGAAGCCUGAUGCAACAACGCCGCGUGCGGGAUGACGGCCUUCGGGUUGUAAACCGCUUUCGCCUGUGACGAAGCGUGAGUGACAGUAAUGGGUAAAGAAGCACCGGCUAACUACGUGCCAGCAGCCGCGAUGAUACGUAGGGUGCGAGCGUUGUCCGGAUUUAUUGGGCGUAAAGGGCUCGUAGGUGGUUGAUCGCGUCGGAAGUGUAAUCUUGGGGCUUAACCCUGAGCGUGCUUUCGAUACGGGUUGACUUGAGGAAGGUAGGGGAGAAUGGAAUUCCUGGUGGAGCGGUGGAAUGCGCAGAUAUCAGGAGGAACACCAGUGGCGAAGGCGGUUCUCUGGGCCUUUCCUGACGCUGAGGAGCGAAAGCGUGGGGAGCGAACAGGCUUAGAUACCCUGGUAGUCCACGCUGUAAACGGUGGGUACUAGGUGUGGGGUCCAUUCCACGGGUUCCGUGCCGUAGCUAACGCUUUAAGUACCCCGCCUGGGGAGUACGGCCGCAAGGCUAAAACUCAAAGGAAUUGACGGGGCCCCGCACAAGCGGCGGAGCAUGCGGAUUAAUUCGAUGCAACGCGUAGAACCUUACCUGGGUUUGACAUGGAUCGGGAGCGCUCAGAGAUGGGUGUGCCUCUUUUGGGGUCGGUUCACAGGUGGUGCAUGGCUGUCGUCAGCUCGUGUCGUGAGAUGUUGGGUUAAGUCCCGCAACGAGCGCAACCCUUGUUCACUGUUGCCAGCACGUUAUGGUGGGGACUCAGUGGAGACCGCCGGGGUCAACUCGGAGGAAGGUGGGGAUGACGUCAAGUCAUCAUGCCCCUUAUGUCCAGGGCUUCACGCAUGCUACAAUGGCUGGUACAGAGAGUGGCGAGCCUGUGAGGGUGAGCGAAUCUCGGAAAGCCGGUCUCAGUUCGGAUUGGGGUCUGCAACUCGACCUCAUGAAGUCGGAGUCGCUAGUAAUCGCAGAUCAGCAACGCUGCGGUGAAUACGUUCCCGGG
rnacentral:rRNA from 1 species